rnacentral:rRNA from 1 species
GGUGUAAAGUCCAAGCCCAUCGGUCACGUCUCGAAACACGGGCCAAGGAGUAUAGCAUGUGUGCAAGUCUAAGGGUCUCACAAAACCCGAAGGCGAAGUGAAAGCAAGUAAGCGGCGGGUGAUCUACGGAGAGAUCCCGUCAGCUAGAGGGACCCUCGGGUCUCUCCGGCUUUGGCAGAGUUGAUCCUGCAGCGGUACCGCACACGUACGCUCAGGCGCAAACUCCAGGCUCACGUUUCGCACUGGUUCUCGGACUGUGCUGUGAGCACUGUGGAGCAUGCAUGCUAUGACCCGAAAGAUAGUGAACUAUGCCUGGCGAGGGCGAAGCCCCAGGAAACUGGGGUGGAGGCCCGUAGCCGUUGUGACGUGCAAAUCC